GUGCCAGCAGCCGCGGUAAUACGGAGGAGGCAAGCGUUAUCCGGAAUUAUUGGGCGUAAAGCGUCCGCAGGUGGCGAUUCAAGUCUGCUGUCAAAGCACGGGGCUUAACUCCGUUAAGGCAGUGGAAACUGAAUAGCUAGAGUGCCGUAGGGGUAGAGGGAAUUCCCGGUGUAGCGGUGAAAUGCGUAGAGAUCGGGAAGAACAUCGGUGGCGAAAGCGCUCUACUGGACGGCAACUGACACUCAGGGACGAAAGCUAGGGGAGCGAAUGGGAUUAGAUACCCCAGUAGUCCUAGCUGUAAACGAUGGAUACUAGGUGUAGCUUGUAUCGACCCGAGCUGUGCCGAAGCUAACGCGUUAAGUAUCCCGCCUGGGGAGUACGCACGCAAGUGUGAAACUCAAAGGAAUUGACGGGGGCCCGCACAAGCGGUGGAGUAUGUGGUUUAAUUCGAUGCAACGCGAAGAACCUUACCAGGGCUUGACAUGUCCGGAAUCCCGGUGAAAGCUGGGAGUUCCUUCGGGAGCCGGAACACAGGUGGUGCAUGGUCUGUCUUCAGCUCUGUGUCGUGAGAUGUUGGUUUAAUUCCCACAACGAGCACAACCUUUUUUUUUAGUCGCCACCAUUAAGUUGGGCA
rnacentral:rRNA from 1 species